AUUGAACGCUGGCGGAAUGCUUUACACAUGCAAGUCGAACGGCAGCACGGACUUCGGUCUGGUGGCGAGUGGCGAACGGGUGAGUAAUGUAUCGGAACGUGCCCAGUCGUGGGGGAUAACGUAGUGAAAAUUACGCUAGUACCGCAUACGAUCUAUGGAUGAAAGCGGGGGAUCGCAAGACCUCGCGCGAUUGGAGCGGCCGAUAUCAGAUUAGGUAGUUGGUGGGGUAAAGGCCCACCAAGCCAACGAUCUGUAGCUGGUCUGAGAGGACGACCAGCCACACUGGAACUGAGACACGGUCCAGACUCCUACGGGAGGCAGCAGUGGGGAAUUUUGGACAAUGGGCGAAAGCCUGAUCCAGCCAUUCCGCGUGCAGGAUGAAGGCCCUCGGGUUGUAAACUGCUUUUGUACAGAACGAAAAGGUUUCUACUAAUACUAGGAGCUCAUGACGGUACUGUAAGAAUAAGCACCGGCUAACUACGUGCCAGCUGCCGCGGUAA
rnacentral:rRNA from 1 species